GGUUGUGGCUCAGAGGUAGAGUGCUCUCCUUGCACGUGUGAGGUCCUGGGUUUGAUUCUCAGCACCA
rnacentral:tRNA from 2 species